AUCAUUUACUUUAAUUCAACAAUCUAUUAUCUUUGUUUAGUUGGUAAUUUGAUUCUUUGCAGCUUCUGCACUCCAACUUCAAGUGUAAAGGAGAGGAGAGCUAAGCAUUUGGAGGCAGAAAACGUCAGUAAUGGAGAGAAAAUAUGUUGGAGAGCAAUACGUUCAGCAGGAAGACAAAGUGCGGCAAAAUUAAGAAGGAAGUUAGAGAAUAUAUUUGAGAGAUGACAUUUACUGUGGAGCUGCUGCUUGCAAAACAUGCGACACUUGCACUUCACGUGCUCCUUUGGAUGCUGCUUCUCCCCUUCUUGUUCUUGAUACCAAUGUCAUCCUUCAACAGAUCGACUUGCCCGAGAAUCCUGCCAUCGACAAUGCCUACUGCUAUCGGUGGUGCUGAAUGAG